rnacentral:snRNA from 1 species
GAGAGUCUUUGCAUCAUAGU